rnacentral:rRNA from 1 species
UACGUAGGGGGCAAGCGUUGUCCGGAAUUAUUGGGCGUAAAGAGCGUGUAGGCGGUCCGGUAAGUCAGCUGUGAAAGUCAAGGGCUCAACCCUUGAAAGCCGGUUGAUACUGUCGGGCUAGAGUCCGGAAGAGGCGAGUGGAAUUCCUGGUGUAGCGGUGAAAUGCGCAGAUAUCAGGAGGAACACCAAUUGCGAAGGCAGCUCGCUGGAACGUAACUGACGCUGAGACGCGAAAGCGUGGGGAGCGAACAGG